CCUGUACCCAUCAAAUAAUCAACUUGAUGUGUGACUUUGGGACAGAUUCAUUUGGGACUGAUUCAUACAACAUUUCUAUCUUCCUCCUCCCUGGAAGGGUCAGGAUGGGGAGGUGGUCCACCAUUCCUCCUCCUCUGCCUAGACACAGUGCUGACAGACAUUGCCACCUCCUGGAACAGGCAGUGUCACCCCUGGACUGGUGUAAAAAAGAAGGUAGGCAAGGAAGGACAGACAGAGGCUGGUGGGACAAUGUCCAAUAAUUUACCAAAAAAAUCUACUUCUACUGUGAGUGGCAAGACAAAGAGGACCUUUUUCUGGCUAUUUUUCAGAGGUGGUGCGGUGGAAUAGGUGAAAUAAGGUGCUGGGGUUUUUUUUGUUUUUGUCUUUGCCUUCAAUGUUAAUAAUAGAAUGUAAUAUGACCAGGGCUUUUUUCCAGCCAGAAUACACUGGAACUCAGUUCUGACAUCUUUCAGUUGAGUACCACUGCCAUUAUAAGAGAACAAGGGAGGCACACCUGGUGAGUUGUGGCACCUCUUUUUCCAGAAAAAUAACACUGAGUAUGACUGAUCAUCCCUAGUGAAGCACCGUCUCCUGAGCAUAAAGAGGGAGGGAGGGACACACACACACACACAGAGAGAGAGAGAGAGAGAGAGAGAGAGAGAGAGGUGUGCUGGCUUCCAUAUUUCCCCAGAAAUGCAUGCUUGGUGGGCAUGUGGCAUAAUUCCUUAGGUUGUCAUGGUGUUGUGGAGGUGGAGUGGUAGCAGGAGCUCUUCUCUGACCAUUACUGCCACUACAGGCAGGAUCAUGCAAAAGUUGUUAUUAUUUAAGAAAUGAGAUAAUGUCGCCAGAAACAGCAUUUUUACAAAGGAAGGUGGAGCAGGAGAAGAAAAGAUCAGCUGCUGCCACCAUGGUCAGCUCUUAAGCAACUCUUUGUCUCUGACCCUCUUCCUCUGCUGUUAUUGUCUUCUUCUUCUUCUUCUUCUUCUUCUUCUUCUUCUUCUUCUUCUCCUUCUCCUUCUCCUUCUCCUUCUCCUUCUCCUUCUCCUUCUCCUUCUCCUUCUCCUUCUCCUUCUCCUUCUUCAUAAGCCUGCACCACCAACUGAAACAUGCAAACCUUUGGUGCUUUCGCAUACUGAGAAUUCUGACUCACAGCCAUCGGUUAAGUCCUCACACAGCAGCUAAACUAACUUUCACCGGAACAGACAGAAAACUUUCCACAUCAAAUACAUUACAAUACAAACGUCAGGACACAUUACACAAUGCCCAUUAAAACAUAAUUCAGAUAAACAGGAUUUUACAGCCAUCUAUGUUACUAGUAUCUUCACCACUGUGGAUGCCAUAGAUUAAUUGUACAUUGAAGCUAAAAAAAGUGAUAGCAGCUUACUUCCCACUGUUCCCCGCAAAAAAGUAAUUUUAAAAUAGCAUGAUGUAGCCAAAACUUUUAAGUCCCAUUUCCAUGGGAGACCUGAACUAAGUGUCCUGCAACUGGGUGCCCUCUUCAGGUUAAGCCUUCUGUUGUUGACAUGGGUGUUUUCAAUGGAAAAGGAUGGAGCUAUUACCAGAUACCAUGCCAUCAAUGUCAAUAAUCUCCAUUCUGAAGUUUCUUCAGAUAAGCAGUCAGCCCUUCACAUAGCCCCUAAGCAAAGAAGCAACAAAGGCAGAACAAUGCAGGCUGUCAUUGGAAAUAAUAGCAAAAGCAACCUCUUUUCCUGAUGCCUAGAUUCAAAUGUGCAGUUUUCGGAGAGGCGAGCUGAAGCACUCAAAUGUACAGCCCGCAGAAGCUUUCCUUAUUUACCCCCUGCUGCAAGACUUCAUUCCAAAAUGACAACUUGCACAACACAUGAAAAGUGUCACUCAUGGCACAAUAUUUCAGGGUAUGUAAAAAUUUCAUAUGGAAGCGCAAUAUCCCAGGGUCUGAAACUAGGAAUCAUCGUCCAUCAACUUGUGCUGUAAAUAAUCAUUAAAUGCAAAAUACCCUCUCCUGCGGUGGGAUAUAAUAAUAGCAUUGCUGUCCUUUUAUAAGCUCGAGUCUGGAUCCCAGGUACAUUUCAGUCACUAAAAAGUUGCCAAUUCAUUUCUUUUAUGUGUUUUGCUCAUAUGGAAAUGAACAGAAACAGACUCCAACAACACAGAAUGGCCAUGCUAAGAUGAGAGUUGAGCCUUUAUUUCUUGGAAAAUAAUAUUCUAUUUUUAAAUAUAUAUUUUUAGCUACUGAACUGCUGGAGAAUUUCAGUCACCCCCUGGAAAAAUACUCAGCAAAAUGGCCUCACCAUUUGCACCAUCCAUGAUUUUUAAAUGUAACUGUGGAUCCAGUUUUAAUAUUGUUUUGCAAUAUUGUUAUGCACCACCCCAGUCUUCGAGCAGUGCGAGAUUCCAGGGGUACCAGGUGUGCAUACCAGGGUUUAUGCUCCCUUUCAGACAAUGAGAUACAGUGGAGACUGUGGUGUUUUUAUGCUGUAUGGUUUAUAUACAACCUGUGCCUACUCUGGAGGGGGCUCUGAGCAUCACAUCCGAAUCAGUGCCAGCUUCUUCCAAAGGAAGCAGCAUCCCUGCCCUGCAGUGUGCCUGUCCCCAAGAAUGGUCACAUCCCACCUGUUCUAUCCCUGCUAACCUAAGCUCUGGUCAUUUGUAACACAGAGAAGCUCCACUCAUCUGCAUUCUCACACCUGGUUCUUUGAUUCUAAAGGAUCAUUAACCCCAGGUUCAGAACAGCCUUUACCAAAGGUGUCAUGGGCUUUGAAGAUGCUCAAACUCAGGAUGAAAGGUGAAAUGUGCUAAGAGGAAGGCAUGCUUGGCAAACCCUCACCGUCAUCAAUUUCCACCCAGAAACCUAUGUUCCCACUGCGGAAGGACGUGUGGAUCCAGAAUUGGCCUCCGCAGUCACUUAUGGACUCACUGUUAAGAUCAUGUUCAUGGAAGACAAUCUUACUCGGCUACAAGUGAUUGCCAAAGAAGAUUUUAGGAGGAAGCAAUAGGCUCAGCCUUUACUCUAUCUAGUCACCCUCUCUCAGCUCUUCUAAUAUGUACUAACUAAUGUGAACUAUGAACUAAUAUGAACUAACUAUAGAGUUUCAUUUAACAAUUUGUUUUGGAUGCAAAAGGGCCCAGGUAAAAUCCCAGGUAGAGAUGGGAGAGAAUCCUGUCUGAAAUCCCAGAGAGCUACUGCCAAUCAGGGUAGACGAUACUGAUCUUGAUGGACCAAUGGUCUGGCUCAGUAUAAGACAACUUCCUUUGUUCCUGUGAAACAAUGUUAUCUUCACAACUAUAAGCUUAGGCUGAGCAAUAGUUACUGACCCAAGAUCAUCCAUUGUGUUUCAUGGCUGAGCAGGGAGUUGAACCCAUUCAGCACUUUAACCAUUACAGCACACUGCCUCAGAGCAUGGGGGAACCAGGUUUAUUUUGCUUNNNNNNNNNNNNNNNNNNNNNNNNNNNNNNNNNNNNNNNNNNNNNNNNNNNNNNNNNNNNNNNNNNNNNNNNNNNNNNNNNNNNNNNNNNNNNNNNNNNNUUUUACAAUAGGAAUAAAUGUAAUAAACAAUAUAACAUUCGUCUUAACAUAAUUUCACAUUUUCUUUGGACUUCCUCACAUCUCCCGCUCCCACCUUCAUCAUUAUAACAUUUUGUCAGCAAUUUAUCAUCUUAUUUAAAUUCUUAUAUCUCUUCGAUAUUUCAUGAUCUUAUAGUUCUCAUAAAGAGUUAAACUUUCACAGUUUUUCUUAUUUUCUUAAAGACUUCUAAGUUAAGUGGUGCUCAGUUAUUUAGUCUAGCAUCUUAUUCAGCAUUCAGUCAAAUCACAAUGUUUUUGUAGGUAGUUCUUAAAUUUCUUCCAAUCCUCCUCGAUUCUCUCUUCUCCCAUGUCACGGAUUCUGCCAGUCAUUUCAGCCAGUUGCAUAUAGUCUAUCAGUUGCAUCUGCCAUUCUUCCAGUGUGGGUAUAUCUUGAGUUUUCCAAUGUUUUGCGAGUAGUAUCCUUGCUGCUGUUGUUGCAUACAUAAAAAAUGUCUGGUCCUUCUUUGCCACCCCUUGGCUGACAAUACCCAAAAGGAAAGCCUCUGGUUUCUUAGUGAAAGUAUAUUUAAAUACCUUUUUCAAUUCAUUAUAAAUCAUUUCCCAGAACGCCUUCACUUUAGGGCAGGUCCACCAGAGGUGAAAGAACGUUCCUUCACACUCUUUACAUUUCCAGCACUUGUUAUCAGACAGGUGGUAAAUUUUUGCGAGUUUGACUGGGGUCAUAUACCAUCUAUAAAUCAUUUUCAUUACAUUUUCUUUCAAAGCAUUACAUGCAGUAAAUUUCAAUCCAUUACUCCACAGCCUUUCCCAGUCCUCAAACAUAAUAUUAUGCCCAAUAUCCUGUGCCCACCUUAUCAUAGCCGAUUUAACCAUUUCAUCUUGUGUAUUCCAUUCCAACAGCAAGUUAUACAUCCUUGAAAGUAUCUUAAUCUUUGGUUCUAACAAUUCUGUUUCUAAUUUCGAUUUCUCCACCUGGAACCCUAGUUUCUUAUCAUUUUUAAAAACUUCUUUAAUCUGAGCAUAAUGUAACCAAUCUCGCACUUUGUCUUUCAUUUUCUCCAAACUCUGCAGUUUCCAAUUGUCUCCAUCUUUUUCUAAUAUUUCCCAAUAUUUUGGCCAUUUGGCCUCCAUAUUGGGUCUUUUUCGGGCCUUAGCUUCCAAAGGUGAAAGCCACCUUGGUGUUUUAUUUUCCAGCAAGUCUUUAUAUUUUGUCCAGACAUUAAACAGUGAUUUUCUAACAAUAUGGUUCUUAAAGGCCUUAUUUGCUUUAACUUUGUCAUACCAUAAAUAUGCAUGCCAUCCAAAAACAUUGUUAAACCCUUCCAAAUCUAACACAUCAGUGUCUUCAAGAAGUAGCCAAUCUUUUAGCCAGCAGAACGCUGCGGCUUCGUAAUACAACUUUAAGUCCGGCAGGGCAAAGCCCCUCUUUGUUUUGCAUCAGUUAGUAUCUUAAACUUAAUUCUGGGCUUUUUGCCCUGCCAGACAAACUUCGAAAUGUCUCUCUGCCACUUCUGAAAGCACUCCAUUUUGUCCAAAACCUGAAGUGUUUGAAAUAAAAACAACAUUCUUGGCAAUACAUUCAUCUUAAUCGCAGCAAUUCGGCCUAACAAAGAAAGUUUCAAUUUUGACCAACUGUCUAAGUCUCUCUUAAUUUCUGUCCAACAUUUUUCAUAGUUAUCCUUAAAUAGACUUAGAUUUUUGCUGUUAUGUUUACCCCUAGGUAUUUUACUUUUUAACCACAUUAAGUUCCGUCUCAUUCUGAAACCGUUCUGACUCUGUCUCAGUCAAAUUUUUCCCAAAACCUUGGUUUUCUGUUUAUUUAAUUUAAAUCCCGCCACCCGACCAAAGUCAUUAAUCAAUUGUAAUACUCUUUUCGUACUAGGCUCUGGCUUCUGCAAGGUCAAAACCAGGUCAUCUGCAAAAGCUUUUAGUUUAUAUUGUUUCUGACCAACCUGAAUUCCUUCCACCAACUGGUCCCCUCUAAUCAUGUUCAAUAGCACUUCCAGAACCGAAAUAAAUAACAAAGGGGAGAUAGGGCAACCUUGUCGUGUCCCUUUUUCAAUUUUAAACUCUUCUGUAACCACAUUAUUAACUAUCAGUUUAGCUUUCUGUUCUGAAUAUAUCGCCUCAAUCCCAUUCUCAAAACCCCGUCCCACUCCCAUCUCUUUUAAGUUUCCCAUCAUAAAUUUCCAAGAAAUAUUAUCAAAGGCCUUCUCCGCAUCUAUAAAAAUUAAAACUGCUUUUGUAUUUAUGUCAGUUUGGAGAAGUUCCAAGAUAUCAAUAAUGUUCCUUGUGUUAGCAAACAGAUGUCUACCUGGGAGAAAACCGGCCUGGUCCUUAUGAAUUACUUCAUUUAAAACUUUUUAAAUCUACUUGCCAAAAUAUCUGCAAAUAUUUUGUAAUCCACAUUUAAAAGGGAGAUGGGACGGUAGUUCUUCAGUUGUGUCUUUUCAGCUUCUGACUUUGGUAUCAAUGUGAUAAACGCUUCCUUCCACGAAUCCGGUGCCCUCUUCCCCUCCAUAAUUUCAUUGCUAACCUCCAUCAAGGGUUGUAUCAAAUAGUCUUUUAGUGUCUUAUAAUACUUGGAGGUCAGCCCGUCUGGCCCUGGAGAUUUGCCAAGUUGCAUGUUCUGAAUAGCUUGUUCAAUCUCCUGUCGUGUUAUUUUAGAGUUCAGGGUUGUCCUAUUUUCUUGUGACAGUUUAGAUAAUCCAUUUUUGGCAAAAAUUGUUUAAUCUCGACUUCGUCUUGCGGCCCUUGGGUAUAUAGUUUUUAAAAUAUCUCUGGAAACACUUUCUAAUGUCCACUGGAUUCUGAAUGUUUCUUCCAUCGACCUCUAAAUUUGUAACCGUAUUUAAUCUUUGUCUUCUCUUCAACUGCCAAGAUAGCAGUUUUCCACAUUUAUUCGCCGACUCAAACGAUUUUUGUUUCAUUAAUUUAAUCUUCCAUUCAAUUUCCUGAUUUAUCAAUUUAGAAUAUUGUGUUUGAUACAGUUUAAUUUCUCUCAGAGUUGGCUGUGACUUUGGAUUCACUCUUAAUUUCUUCUCUAAUUCUUUUAUUUUAUCCAAGAUCUUGUCUUUUUCUCAUUUUGUGUUUUUUUCCUUACUACAUUCUGUUGUAUCAAGAAUCCCCUCAUGACAGCUUUGCUUGCGUCCCAGACGAUUCUUUUUCCACCGAAUUAUUCAUGUUUAUCUCGAAAUAGUCUUUCAAAACUUUUUGGGCCUUCUUGGUAAUUUCCUGAUCUCUAAACAAAUUGUCAUUCAUCUUCCAUCUAAAGGAUCCAGUUGGUAGUAGUGUCAUAUCCAUCUUUACUGCGUUGUGGUCAGAGCAGGUCUUUGGGCAGAUUUCCACUUUUCUAACCCUAGGUGCCAGGCCUCUAGAAAUCCAUAUUUGGUCGAUUCUUGUCCAGGUCAGUUGGGCUUCAGAAAAGAAUGUUCCUUCUCUACCUAGUGGGUUCUUUGUUCUCCAAAUGUCGAUCAAGUCCAUAUUGUCAGUCAUUUCAAAAAGGUUUUAGGUAGUCUGCCAUCUUUUGUGACAUUUUGACUUUGCGACUUGUCCAUGUUAGUUGAUACGACCCCGUUCAUGUCUCCCAUCAUUAUGAUGUUGUUGUAAUCCAGAUGAUCCAGCAUUGUCCCCUGCAACUUCUUGUAAAAUUCCGAUUUCCCUUCAUUGGGUGCAUAGAUUCCUAAUAUCAGCAGUUUCUCUCCUUGAUAUUGUAUCUCAAUAGCCAAAAUCCUUCCAUGUUCAUCUUUAAAUAGAAAUUUAGGUGACAGGCUCUCUUUUGCAUAUAUCACCACUCCUCUCUUCUUCACUUUGUCCGACGAAAUAAAUUCCUGGCCCAAUCUUUUAUUUAUUAACACUUUUCUGUGGAGCCUCGUCACAUGUGUUUCUUGUAAACAGAUAAUGUCCAAUUGUUCUUUUUUUAAUAUAUGAAAUAUUUUCUUCCUUUUUUCCGGAAUGUUACAACCAUUAAUAUUCCAGCUCAACAGUUGCAGAGACAUCCUGGAUCUGUCUGGUUAUUUCUCCCGGGGUGGUGUCUUCUCUGGAUCUUCAAGUUCCCCAGGUGCAGGUAUUAAUGCUGGCUUUGCCCCAGGCCCGGAAGGUAGUUCAAUUCCUUUUUGUAGGUCCUCUCCGUAUGUAGCCAGAAAUUUAUCUCUCUCUUCCAAUGUUCUAAUUUUGACCUUUCUCGCUCUAAAGGUAAAAGAUAAUCCUUGGGGAAAUUCCCACCUGAAUGGAAUUGCGUUGCUCCUUAAUAGUUUAGCAAGUUCAGAGUAGGCGGCUCUGAGAUCCAACAGUUGUCUUGGAAUAUCUUUAUAUAUCUCAAUUCUUCUAUCCAAAACCUCCAGUGACUUUUCGUAGUGUAGACCCAAAAUCUUAUCCCUUUCCUCCUUCGAUCUCAAUGUAAUCAAACAAUCCCUGGGCCUCUCCUUCUUUAUAAAUCUUCCAAGUCUGAAAGCUGACACAAUUUUAAAGUCCUUUUCUUCCAAAUUCCAGAACUUGGAAAGUUCUUUGGUCAAAAACUCAGUUAGAUUUCCUUCUUCUGCCUCUUGUAAUGAUCUAAUCCUCAAAUUAUUCUCACGAUUUCGCAGUUCUAUCAUAGAAAGAUAAGUCUGAUGUUCCCCAACUUGUUUAGUGAGUGGUCUUACCUCUUGCUCUAAAUUUUCCAAUUUUUGUCUGGUAUCCUCAGCCAAUUUUCGGUUUUCUACUGAGGCCUCCGUUAACUGUCCAAUUGCUUGUGUAUUCUGUCCCACCUGUGUAGUUAAUUUGUUUAGACAAUCUGUAUUUUUAUCAAUCUUUGCUGAUUGCGCAUCUACUUUCUUGUCCAAAGCUUCCAAUUUUUCAAAGAUUUUCUAGUACAGAAACAGAUGCUCCUGAGGCCAUAUCUUCCAAUUGUAACUGCUCUGCUUCACCCUCUCCCUCUUUUGCCUGUGGCAAAGCAGCUUCUUCAAGUUGUACUUCUGAGGGCAAAGUAGGCACAGAUGAUCUACGUGUCUGCGAGGCUGAGGUUAGAGUUGUUAAGGUUGUUUGUCUGACUCUUCCUCUUCUUCUUGUACCACUCAUUCCAAUGUUAUCUAUCAGUCAAGGUCACACUGAGUUUUUCCCACAGGAAUAGAAAGGCCCAGAGCAAGCAAACAACAAGGGAAUCGAAAGUAAAUGUAUUUGUAAAGUCACUGUUUUAAUCCAAUCCUCUAGAGGGAGCUUAAGAUGUCUUUCAGAGUCUGAUUUAAUGUCCCAGAACCUUCCAAUAUAAGUAUUAAGCAGAGUUUAAAAGUAAUCACUUUGUUGCAGACAGUGCUUAUUUGUCUCCAAAAAGAAUGUUUCAAAUUUAAAAGGUCUCAAUACCCUCAGAUUGUUGCAAAUUCUAAUAUACAGUAUCCAAAUCAACACUGACAGCUCACUCUUACAGUGCUCAAGCAAUCCUGACUCUGGGUUUCACCUUCCAAUUUGUAAUCCAAUAAAAGGGGGAAAGUCAAGUGCAAAUAAAAGAUCCAAAUCUUUAGCUUACUGGUUUUACUUUAAAUUGUAAGUUCCAUAGAUGCUUGGCUGUGUAAAGUUUAAAAUCUCUUUCUUUCAGCCUCCACUCCUCCGCCUUAGUUGCUUUUUUUUCAAGUUCAAUGGCUGCGGAAGACGGACUUCCUGUUUCCACGUCUCUCCGCUUUCAGCCAAGUUCAAGCCGAAUUAAACCUUCUCAUUUAAAAUUUGUAAUUCCAAGUGAUUCAGUCUUUACUCACGAAUAAGUUGUUUUUCUUCCAAGUCCGAAUUUUGACAGGAAAAGGGAUCAGCGCUCACCGGCAGCAGCAGCGCGGCUUCACUCCGCUGACUGUGAAACGGCUCUCAGCACCGCAACCCCCCUCCACGCUCCGGGCCCCUUACGAGGCUCCUUCUGCGGUUGGAGGGCUGCUCGUGGCGCCCGCCGAGCCUCAGGACCCCAGGCUCUUGCUGCCUGGGGUUUUCCUCGUUGGGUCUCCGCUUCGCCGUAGCGGACGACCCGAUUUCAGCGGAGCCUCCUCUCCCGUCGGGAGAAGACCGCCAUUGCCGUUCGCGCCGCCCCCCGGAAGCUAUUUUGCUUUGUUUAAGCAUUUAUUAGCUACAUUCUCGGUCCCCAGUGAAGAAUCCAAAAGCGGCACUCCGGUUAAAACAAAGAAACAAUUGCAAACCGUGAAAGAUGCACAAAAUGGCAGAAAUACAAAAUCACCCAUAAGCAGCCACAGUCAGAACAGAAUAGAAGAGAAUAAAGCAAAUUCAAAACAAACACAGCAGUUAAACACACAUUCAGUUUUCCAUUAGGAAACCCAUUUGAAAAAAGCCAUCUAAUAAUAACUUGACUUUAGAAAGCCAUCAGCAUGUGGGCCGAUGGAAGCCCCACUAGCAAGAGCAUUCUAUUAUGUGGUUGUCUCGGCAGAAGAAGCCAUGCUAUGAAACCCCUGCAGUCUUCCCCUCCCAAAAGGGCAGGAUGCACUGCAGAACCUUCACUGCAGAUGCAAGGAAAGAGGAAAGUGCAUAUCAGAGAUGCUCCCCGAAGUCCGCAGGCCUCAGAUAAGUCUGAAAAAGUCAGAACCAGCACUUUAAAUUGAGCCUAGAAGCAAAGUCAGAGAGCUUGAGCUAAAAUAGGAAUUGUAUGCUCUUUGAGACUCGUCUCUGUCCGGAGGAAGGCCACAGCUUCUAACCGUAGCUUCCAAGCCACCUUCAAAGGUUAAAGGCAGCCCCUUUGGCCUGUGCUUGCAAUGCCUAUAUGGAAAGAAAGUGAUUUAUUGGGUAGAACAGAGGGCACAAGUGAGAGAGGUGGCAUACAAUCCCCCCAACCCAACCCAAAAGAGUUUUUCUUCUCAGGCCCACAGUACAAUGAACAGCUAGAUCAAUAACUGAGUGGCAGGAACUGUACGCUGAAUGCCCCUUGAUCCGAGAUACAUAUUUUUAGAAUAUUAUCAAGAAUUUGUAUCAAUUUGUAUCCUGCUUCUGAUCUUUCGAAGCUGGGGGUGGGGAGAGGAAGCAGCUGCCAGUACAAUUUGUUUGACUGAUUCAAAAAAGCAAGCAAACAAAAAGCUCUUGAGGGGUGUUCUUCACAAUGGAGAGAUGCCUCACUGACUCAUCUUCCAUAGGGCAUCUUUUUUUUAUGCUGUGGAUCUGGCAUGCACUGUUUUUUUUGCAGAAUGUGAGAUAGUAGCUUUGGGCUAUGUUUUCUAAAAGAACAGAUUUUUAAGUGCAAAUAACAACAACAACAAUAAUAAUAAAACAAUGUCUUUUGCUUCUAUCUAGUAAAGAAAGAGUAAUCAUGACUGCAUUACAAGUUGCCAGCAAGAAUUUUGAGUGAAGGCGUGGAGUCUCCCCACAUUAUGUGGAAAACUCAUGUGGUUAAGAUACUAUCUCAUUCAGUAGUUUAGUGAAGUUGCAAGACCGAGGUUCUCUCAGGCUGCAGUCCUACACAGUAAGCCUGCAGCUUACGUUACAUUCCAGAGAUGGUGCCUAAAGCCAAAAUGCCUUAUAGUUAAAGCACCUGGGAUGCAAUGGUGAGUAGGAUUGCCAAAGUCUUUUUUCCUAGAUGUCUGCCCCCUUUCCACCCCCCUUUUAUUUUAUUUUUUAAAAAAUUGCCAAGCAUGUAAAGUUAAAUGUGCACAACUUAAAUGUGCCUAAAUGGGCUUAUCAUAUACAGUGGUGCCCCGCAAGACGAAUGCCUCGCAAGACGAAAAACUCACUAGACGAAAGAGUUUUCCGUUUUUUGAGUCGUUCCGCAAGACGAAUUUCCCUAUGGGCUUGCUUCGCAAGACGAAACGUCUUGUGAUUUCUUGCGAGUUUGUUUCCUUUUUCUUAAAGCCGCUAAGCCAUUAAUAUAGCCGCUAAGCCGCUAAUAGCCGCUAAGCCGCUAAUAGCCGUGCUUCGCAAGACGAAAAAACCGCAAGACGAAGAGACUCGCGGAACGGAUUAAUUUCGUCUUGCGAGGCACCACUGUACUGACUUGCUUGUCUAAGUCAUAUGUAUGACAGAGGGAGAUAUGCACUUGCGUAGACAUAUUCGUGUGGCUGCAUACAUGUGAAAUCUGUGCAUGAGAGUCUGUGACUGAGUUACAUGUGUGUCUAGUCUUAUGCCUGAGUUAAGUGGGUGGGUGGGUGGGUUUAGGACAAUCAGGAGUUGGUUGGGGACACACUUUGAGCGUUGCCCACAGUAUCAUCGCAUGUAGCUUACCAGAGUGUUGCCCAUCUUUCUCUGUGAGGAAGCUUGUGAGCAUCUGGAUUGUGUGGCACACUUAAACACACAUUUUCCUUACGAUUAUCCUACUCACGUGUAACACGUAAAGAGACCUAUUGAUAAAUAUAAACAUGGGUGUUUUAGAACAGAGGCAGCCCAUCUAUGACCCUCCAGAAAGUAGCAGACUUUGAGCUCUGUGGGAGCCAUGCAGCCAUGGUAGUAGCUUGUAAUGCUACUAAUGCCUCACUGAACUCAGGGAUGUAGCCUAUCCUCGCUAGCAGUAUAACCAUAUAUGGGUGUUCUUUCCUGGUAGGGUGUAUUGACCUUAUAUGGGGUUGUGUUCCCUCUGGGCAGUAAUUACCUUAUAUGGUGAUGGGUGUUGUAAAGCCAUGAUUGGGCGAUGUAACGUGAGACAUUGGCAGACGGCCAUGCAGGCGGGGAGACAAAGGAUAAUAAAAAAUACCGGACAGGAGAGAAGUUCGAAUGAGCUGCCCUCCACCCUGAAAAUACUGCUGUCUCUCUGUGUGUUUUUCUAUGCUGUGCACCAUUUGAUGACGGCUGGUUUCCGUCGAGCUCUCAAGUAUCAGUGGCACCCUGUGUGACACAAAAAAUUAGUGCCUCCUCACCUCUUGGGCUCCAUUUUACAGCAUUGUUUUGGUGCCUCCUGAAGCAUGGUGCCCAGUGCUACCCUAAAACUGCCUCUGCUCCCGAUGUCGCUGAACAGCUACCACCAGCACCUGCUCCUUUUAUAGGGCCUUGGACCCUGCCUUAAUCUCCUUGCUGGCCCAGUUUGAGAUGGUCAGGUGACUGCUUGCUCUGAAUUAAGGCCUCACCAUCCCUUUCACCUGGUGAUGUCUAGGAGUUAAACCAGGAGCAGAAGUUUCAUGUGAGGAAAAACAAUAAUAAUUCCCCAUCUGCUGUCUGAACUGGGGGUUAUGUGCCUUAGUUUUAAGUCAAGGCUAGAGUGCCAUGAUCGUCUAACUUUAAGAGGAUAAUACUCUUAAAGUAUUAAGAUAAUACACAUAAAGAUAAUGAGGAAGGGUUGUAGCUCAGUGGGAAAGGAAGCUCCCUCCCUCCCGGUUUGUUGGUGAGUGUCGCUGUCGUGCUGCCAGCAGAGGCUCUUGGAAGUGACUUGUGGAGAAGAUGGCACUGGCUGAGGUGAGCUCCCAGGAACAUGGAGGGGGCAAUGGCUGCUGCCGCUGCUGCUGAGUGGACUAGGCCCACUGUCCCGCUUCACCUGCCCGGUGUGCCUGGAGGUGUUCAAGAGCCCUGUGAAGGUGCCCUGUGACCAGGCAUUCAAGGAGUGUCUUAAGCCAAAAGAGCCAGUUUGUGGAGUUUGCCACAGUACCCUGUCUCAUGGCAGCAGAGCUUUCGAAGUGGAAAAGCAAAUUGAAAUGACAGUGGUAGAGAAUCUGCUUUUCAUGCUGAAGCUUCCAGGUGCAUUCCGCGACACCUUCAGGCAGAACUGGGAAAGAUGUUGUGGUGAUCACACAGGGUCCCUGGACGUUUGACAGUCUAUUGAUCUCUGUGCCACCACUGUGAUUGCUUCCCCGCUGCCACCAACCCGGUUCUCUCAGGUACACACAGAGUCCAGACAGUUGUUAACAUUAAAUCAAAUAAGCAAGUUUAUUUUAUAAGCCUUAACAAGUUUAUGGUUUCAGAUAAUUUUUCUUGUCAGUUUCUUAAUCUUAGUUUCUAUACCGGCUUAUACCUUUCCUAAAUAACUGCUAACUGAUUAUCCCAACUGUCUAUCUGACUCCUCCUAUCAGUUUCUCUCACUCUCUCACAACACAACUCGACCAACCCACAGACUUAUCCUCCCUCUUCCUUCUCCAACUCCCAACUGACUUCCCAACAACUCCAACUCUAACUCUAACUCCUCCCCUUGGGUUCCCACUGGCCAAUCACUUCACACUCAUUUAACCCUUUCCUUAUGACCCACCUAGGACGGCAAAUGCCACAGAUGUGCUGCCUGAAACUCUUGAGAGCUUCUGCCAAUCUGUGCAGACAAUGCUAAUCUAGAUGGUCCAUUGAUCUGGCUCAGUACAAGGCAGCUUCCUAUGUGCCCAUGUUCUGGAGAAUUUAGCAAAGUGAGGCAGUUCUCAGUAAGAGGAACACCUGGGCUCCGGCAGCCCCAUGUCUGCAACAAGGCCUUUUGAUUCUGCUCCUUCCUGCCCUAGGGCUGUUUUCUGCAGUGGGCCUUCUCCUCAACAACCACUUUCCUGUGAUAAAAGGGAUAAGGUUAAUUCAGGGAUGAAGUUAAUUUCAUUAAGCCUGAAUUCUAGAGCAAGAUUUCCCCAGGUGAAGAAUGCUUUUAGUUCUCAAGUGGAUUGUAGUGAACAGGCCUUGACCUUAACAUUUUCACAUAAUUCCACUCCUUGUCCUCCUCUCAGGAAACCAUGACCUCUCAUGAUACUCGUCAGAUUCCAAGCAGCUGAAACACCUCAUAGCUGGCCCAUGGCAGUACCUCAGAUGCAAAGGACAGACUAUUCACAAUGGCCCAUUCUAAAUAAAAUAAAAAUUCUUAGUACCAUUGGAUUAGUCUCCAGAAACCUUGAUACUUCCGGACACAAUCUGUUGUGCCCUG
rnacentral:lncRNA from 1 species